UUUUCGAUGCAAGGAUGUGACCCAUCCUUUCUGACCCUGCUUCCUCCCAGUUUGUGAUUCCCAUGGAGCCAUCCUCCCCUCUGGGGUAUUUUUCAAAGGAAACAUCCCAUAAAAGUUAACCGUGUCCAGGGCUUCCCUGGUGGCGCAGUGGUUGAGAGUCCACCUGCCGAUGCAGGGGACGCGGGUUCGUGCCCUGGUCCGGGAAGAUCCCACAUGCCGCGGAGCGGCUGGGCCCGUGAGCCAUGGUCGCUGAGCCUGCGCGUCCGGAGCCUGUGCUCCGCAACGGGAGAGGCCACAACAGUGAGAGGCCCGCGUACCGCAAAAAAAAAAAAAAAAAAGUUAACCAUGUCCAGACCUGUGAAUUAACCCUCAUUAACAAACCAGCCUCAGACCUCCAGCAACCUCUGCUGGCAUUCUUUUUUUUUUUUAGUUUAAUUUUUUAUACAAUUUUUAAAGGUAAUUUUAUACAAUUUUUUAAAGGUAACUGACAUGCUUUCUCUCAGCCUCUCUGUCCCCACUGUCCACUCUGCUCUCUGAGGGCGUUCAGUGAAUUGUGCCUUUGCAUCUCCUAGGGCCCCUUCCACCCCAGAAUCUGCCCCCAGCCACAGGUGGAGAGGAACACCUACUGUAUGUCAAUGUUCAUUGCCAGAAUGAGAACGAUGAAGGGGUUAUCUGCUCUGUGGUACGUACGAUCCCAAAGGAGAGUGAAAGCCAGGCCUGCCCAGUCAGCCCGGCGGGAAACAGUGAGAUGGGACCCCUGCUCUUUGCUCAUUCUCUGUGUGACGUCUGCUUCCUCACCCUGACCUGACUCUCCCACAGGACAUUUCUGUCAUCUACGCUGAGGUGAGACGCCCUCAGCUCAGUGAGGUUCCAACCAAGGGGCUGAACAGAAGAAGCAGGACCCAGCAAGAUCCCGUUGGUGACUGUGAGGGGGUCCUCUGCUAGUGAUGGCAUCUCCUUCCCCCAAGACACACAGCCAUCCGCAGCCCCCAGCGCUCCCCAGGAGACCAGGGGACCCCAGCCUCUUCUGUGGUCCUCCAGUUCCCCAGCCCAGGAGCCAGAAGCCCCGUUUGUGGAGCACAUCAGAAAACUCUGU